CGUUUUGCUCGUCAAACAUGUUUUCCAUGUGAAUAUGGCCUAAUUGUAAUAGGUUUUAAGUUACUUUUCUGAAUGUACUUACAAUAAUUUUUUAGUAUUUUCUAAAAAUGUGGUAGAUGAAAUUUAAUAAUAAUGAAAAUAAAUAAUGUCUGAUAUAUUUAAGCAAACAGUAUUUUGAUGGUAUUUUUGCGAUAGAUUUUUGUUCAGUUAUGUCUCUUCAGUUGCGUAUGUUGGAUCUCUGUUUCAAACAAUCAAACAUUUUUAUAUCCUUGCAGAGGAAUUUUGGUCAAAAGUGUGCAACGCAGUGAAGGAGACAUUGGCAUAACUUUGGUGUUUUUAAAGUUACAAUGAUGGGACUUCGUACAGAUUCCAUUUUGGGAAUAUAAAAUAAAUUAAUUUGCCAAUUUCAUAAGGAUCGGGCAUCUAAAUCCUAUAGCUGCCAUAUCUUAUUGGAGACAACUCUUGGAUAUCCCUAUAACAUUGCUCUAAAUUGAUCCGACUAAUAGUUUCGGAGAUACAGCCUUGAAAAGGUGGACUCUCGAGGUCAGGUAUAGGCAGAGCGAAACUCCUUAAGAGCGUUUUUCUCAAAACUAUGUUUUCAAAGUCGGUUGACAAGAUUUCUCGCAAACUAAAUUUUACCAAGGUUUUCGAGGUAUAAUUACCCGUGGUAAUGGUAUAAUUAACCGUGGGAUUUUUUUUAAUUACAACUAUUUAAAAUAAAAAAAAAGGAAUAUUGGUUGCACGCCCUGUUGUAGGUCUUAUUUGCGGUGAAGUUGUUAUGACCAACUUCUGGUCCUACGGUCCGCCAAUCGGCAUGGGUCUGGCUCCGGCUAGCUCAACCAGGGCCGUGGUUUCCCUGACCCUUCCCAUACAGCCGCUAACAAUAAUAAACAUCCAACAUAUCCUAAACCGCACAUGUUAGACGUUUCACAACACUAAAUUCCCCACAACAUUUAAAUUCAAAUCCUAACAUAAUGAGACAAACAAACUUCUAACACUCAUCCUCACCUGACUAACACGGGAUCUCUAUCCUACUCCUGCUGACAUAGAGUAGUUGGGCUUGCCCUCCCUUCCGUAGCGGAACGCUGGCCAUUUCGUACGUCCGCCCCUAUUUCUUUCCUCUCAAUCCCCUCCUAUUUUCCCAUUAUCCUAUCCCUAACCCCCAACUUAUCCUCUACUCAGUCUUCAUUCUUUCUUUCACAAUUUAUUAAAUAAUCUUUACAAAUAAUGCUUAAUCAGUUUUUAUCCUUUAUCUUUUACUUUCUCUUAUUCCGACGCUUUGGUUUCGCUCAGGGCUUAAAUCAUCAUCAUACGGCAAUUAUCCUAAUAUUAUAAUAAACUCACUUUCCGCCCGGAUUUAUAUCCCUACCUAAGAGAGCUCUCCUUAAUAUGUAGGGACUACCGCCAAAACAAAAAGGAAAUUUAUCUAAUUUCUUUGGGAAAUUGCCAACCGUUAGCUCCAACGGCCGCGAUCGGAACUUACAUGUAUACUUAGUUAGAUGUAUAAAUAAAAGGACCAAAUAAAUAUAUAUAUAUAUAAAUAAAAAAAAACAAAACAGAAUAAAAAGA